rnacentral:rRNA from 1 species
CAGCCGCCGCGGGAAUACGAAGGGUGCAAGCGUUAAUCGGAAUUACUGGGCGUAAAGCGUGCGUAGGCGGUUUGUUAAGUCUGUUGUGAAAUCCCCGGGCUCAACCUGGGAAUGGCAAUGGAUACUGGCAAGCUAGAGUGUGUCAGAGGAUGGUGGAAUUCCCGGUGUAGCGGUGAAAUGCGUAGAGAUCGGGAGGGACAUCAGUGGCGAAGGCGGCCAUCUGGGACAACACUGACGCUGAGGCACGAAAGCGUGGGGAGCAAACAGGAUUAGAUACCCCGGUAGUCCCUGUCUCUUAUAC